GCUCAGGGGAAGGCGGCGUGGGGGCCCGUCCGUCCCUCGUCGGCACCGAGCCGUCCUCCGGAGUCGCCGUUCGGACGGAAACCGGUUGGGAACGCCGUCGUUUCUGUCGCUGUGUGCGUUCGUCGAUUAAACGUUUCCCGUUCGUUUUUCGGCGCUUCUGCCCGCGGUCGUUUCUGCAGCUCCGGCUGCAGCUGCAAAAUGAAUCACCAGGCAUGUUAGCAGGGAAACAUGGUAAUGGAAUUUGCUCCUGAAGAGGAUGCUGACAGUAGACCUUGGUUGCCUCACUCAGGAUUUGUCUGAGCUGAUCUCUGCAAUUCUGUCAGGUGAAACGUAUUGGGUAUUCAAGGAGCCUUCCUUAGCCUCUCUGUGGAACCAAUUUACUUCUCUAGCAUCGUCUUGGAGAGUUUAUAUCAUGGGAAUCAUCUAUCCAGAGCCGUAUACCAGAGGAUAGCAGAGAUAGAAGAUCUACCACCUCUUUAUACACUCAACAGACCUUUACUUAGUGGCAAGUAUCUAAUGGAGAGAGCCGUACCGGUAACUAAGUCUGUUCCAGUACCAUUGUGAUUUUGCAGUUUUUCAAAACGUUGGAAAUAUGUCUUGUGAGUAAAUUGGUUUCUGGUUACAAAGCAGAAGAUACAGUGUAAACCUAGCAGGGAUACACAGACAGAGAUACCAUAGCAAGAACCCAUGGUGAGUUAAAAGAUGCCAAAAAAGCCAGGGUAUGAACUGAAGGCACUUUCACCUAAUUGCCAUCUGGAGUGUACCCUAGCAACAGGUGAGACAAGUUGAAAGCCCUGGCUUGAUGAAACCUCUUGUCAUCUAUGGAUAGUGCAUUAGCUCUCAUUUUCACUUCUCUUACAAUUGCAGGUAUUUAUUGAAUAGCUACGUCAUUUAUCAGUCUUCCAAGAUGAAAAUAUUUGGCUCACAAUCUUUAGGCCAAUACCCAACUGAAAGUGGAUGAAGAGACAAUCUCAGA